rnacentral:lncRNA from 1 species
UUCCUUUAUUUUUAUGUUCUGGACCCUUUUUAACUUCAGGUUUCCAAAUUGCCAGAAAAAUAUUAUUUUUCACUAUUAUUUAGGUAUUUUCAAGGUGGCUAGGUCUGGCUAAAGUUUUACUUUUUCUCUUAAUUACACUCUGUGAAUAGCUAAGCAAAGUAAUCAGUUGACAUUUUUUUUCAACUCUAGUCAAAAAUCUGGAUAUAUAUAAUUCUUUACAGAGUGCAUUCAUUUCCCACGGGGAAAAAUGACAUUAGAAAGUUUUUGCAGUGUCAUCUAGACAAAGAGAGGCCUGGGGAUCUACUAGAGGUACUUUUGAUAGCCGUAGGCUGUAUUAAAUACCUGUCUAUUAUUCGAGGUUCUUCCAUAGUUGUUUAUUGUGGUCUGCUGUCGGGAAGAAAGGGAAUCGAACGGGGUAAGGGUCUUUUCCAAAAAAUUAGUAACGGAACGUUGCGAUGUUUGACAUGAGGCAACUAAGAAAUCAUUACAGCACCUUGAUGUGAUAGACGGAAAGAAGGACAAAAUGGCAGAUUUCUUUUCCUUAGAAAGCAAAAUCAAAGCAUUGACCUUAACGUCUGAAAAGAAAGAAAUCUCCAACAUUUGCUCGGCUGUACAUAUUAGACUUGCUGCAGAAAGAGAGGGAAGAUACAACAUUUUCUAGAAGUUGUUUAUUUUGUAAGCAACACUUUGUUGGUAACAGAUCAUUAUUUUUCAUCAUUUAAUGGAUAACAUAAUUUGUUCAUUGGUGCUCCAGAUAACAUAG